CGAAGACUUAUCAGAUUCUACCACCUCUGUGAACCGUUGACCUCCGGGUUAAUAAUCAAACAUCAGUGUAACGAACGUAAGAGUAUCUUAAUUAAACAAAACUUUUAACAACGGAUCUCUUGGCUCUCGCAUCGAUGAAGAACGCAGCGAAAUGCGAUAAGUAAUGUGAAUUGCAGAAUUCAGUGAAUCAUCGAAUCUUUGAACGCACCUUGCGCCUUUUGGUAUUCCGAAAGGCAUGCCUGUUUCAGUGUCAUGAAAUCUCAAUCUAAUAUGUUUUCUGAACAUGUUAGGCUUGGACUUGGGUGUCUGCCAGUGAUGGCUCACCUCAAAUGACUUAGUGGAACAUCCCACAUCAGUGUUAGACGUAAUAAGUUUCGUCUCUCCUUGUGGUGAUGACUGCUCAGAACCUGCCAUCGCGCAUCUUUUGACUUUGACCUGAAAUCAGGUAGGGCUACCCGCUGAACUUAAGCAUAUCAAUAA
rnacentral:rRNA from 1 species